GCUACCGCGGCGGGCUCCACACCCCGGAGCGCUGCUGCUAGCCGGGGGGCCGAAGCCCCGCUGGGGCCGACCUCCUGGCUUGUGCGAGUCCACCGGGAAGACCCGAGAGGAAGGGCGGCUGCCGGGGACUCUGAAGGGAGCGCUGACGCGGCUGCAGUUCCCGUGGUGCCAAAGGCGCCCCUGGGAGCAGGGACUCUGUUUCGUUCACUGUUCUUUCCCUUGCUGGUGCUUCACACCCAAUAGCUGAGCAACAGCCGAGGUCGCGCCUUCAACCCGCUCAGCCAGGGCGGACACGAGGGGAGGAGGCGGCUCUCCCGCCCCCGCCCCCCACACUUCGUCAGGGCCUCUACGCUCCUGUCCAGGUUCUUCUUCAGAAGGUCUUUGGCUCUCCCCUCUUCAGGUCGCCAGGUCGUUUCCUCCUGAGAAGAGGAUGUCCUGAAUUACACCCACGGGGAUGGAACGUGUUCCAUUGCAAAUUAAUCACUUGUCGUUCUGUUACUGGAAUAAGGUUCUUGCCUCUCACUGGUCAAGAAUGAGCAGCUAUUUCUCAAACAGGCACCCUCCGAUCUCAGGGCCUUUGCUCCGUGUCUGAGUUCUUCACUUCCUGCAUAAGGCUCUCGAGUGCCUUCUCAGCCUGAUUCACUCCCGCGGAGUUGGCUCAAAGCGGACCCAAGCCCCUGCAAAGCUGCGCCGCCCCGGCGCGGAGGUCCGGAGAGGCGAGUCGGGUGCCCUUACGCCCUCACGGUGGGGCAGUCCUCGCUGCGAGGGAGCCAGGAACUACGGGGUGGCAGGCAGUGAUGGAAGAGCACGGCGGGAGCUCUCCGGCAGCGCCUCUUUCCCGGACCCCGCCGGCAACACUGUGUGCGAUUGUAAUCAGCAGAGUGUUUUCUUAACCUGCUGCUUUGACCCGGUGGUGAGGCCCUAGCUAGAGGCCUCUCUAAUCCCCUUCCUGAGCAGCUGAUGAAGCCCAUCCUCCAACCACUCCUGGGCCACUGUGCGCCCGCCCUAAACGCCCUGCGGCCAGGGACCUAACAAGAGGGACAGCCCCUAUGUCUGGAGCCUUCGGAAUUGAAAUUCAACAUAUCCAGUCUCAAUCCUGGGGAAGCCUCGCUAACCCCAUCCUGCUUGCCCUUCAGUUCCAGCCCGUAGUUGUUACCCUGUCCCCAGGUGCAACCCCUGAAUGGCCCUGCGUGGAGUGCAGUGUUCUCCCCAGGGACCUGUGAGUACAAUGACACCUUUAAGAACUUCAAGGCCUCUCUCUCUUGAUCUGCAUCUGGCCUUACCAUACCUCAGCCAAGGUAAUAUGAUUAAAACAGGGACCAAGGCUGGGAUCCUUUUUUUGGGGGGUGGAGGCCGAUCUUAUAGGUGGGAAAUGAUACCUCAGUGAAGUUUAAUUUGCAGCCCUCUUACCGUGGGUAGGAAACCCUCGUGGCGUAGUGGUUAGGAGCUAGGGCUGCUAACCGAAAGGUGGGCGGUUGGAAUCCACCGGGCGCUCCUUGGAAACCCUAUGGGGCAGUUCUACUCUGUCCUAUAGGGUCGCUAUGAGUCGGAAUCGACUGGAUUGGCAAGGGGAUUGUUUUUUCUUUUUUUUUCCGUGGGUAAGGUUGAGCUUCCUCCUGUGUGUUUAAGAGCCACGUUUAGCUUCUUUUCUUGGAACUCCUAGUUCAGGGACUUGGUGCCUUUUCUUGCCUUGUCUUGGGCUUUAUCCUAAGGGCUUAUAUUUGCAACUUACAUAUUAGGGGGAUUGACCCUCUGUCUGUAAUGUAAGUGGCGAAUAUUUUCCCCAGUUUGAUACUUGUCUUUUGGCUGUGCUGAAGGUGAUGAUUUCAUUAAAAAUCCAAAUUCAUAUCAUUAAAUUUAUCAUUUAAAAAAUAGCUUUCAGAUUUGGAGUCGAAGUUAGAAAAGACUUCACCAUUCUGGGGUUACAAAAUAAUUUCCUAAAUCUUCCUCUGUUUCUAUUUUUCUUUUUAAUCAUUUAAAUCUUUGAGGCAUUUGGUAUUUAUUCUGGGGUAAACGAGUCCAUUUUUUUUUUUUCCAUCACAAAUUUGACAUGCUACCUUCAACACAAACUGUGUCACACCCUAUUUUUACAAUAUUCCUGGAUUUUCUUUAAAA